rnacentral:rRNA from 1 species
CCUACGGGAGGCAGCAGUGAGGAAUAUUGGUCAAUGGGCGCAAGUCUGAACCAGCCAAGUCGCGUGCAGGAUGACGGCCCUAUGGGUUGUAAACUGCUUUUAUCGGGGAAUAAAGUUAUUCACGUGUGGAUUUUUGCAUGUACCCCAUGAAUAAGCAUCGGCUAAUUCCGUGCCAGCAGCCGCGGUAAUACGGAGGAUGCGAGCGUUAUCCGGAUUUCUUGGGGUUAAAGGGUGCGGAGGCCGUCUCUUAAGUGAGCUGUGAAAGUUUGCGGCUCAACCUUGGAAUUGCCGUUGAAACUGGGAGACGUGAGUGUGCUUGAGGUAGGCGGAAUGCGUGGUGUAGCGGUGAAAUGCAUAGAUAUCACGCAGAACUCCGAUUGCGAAGGCAGCGUACUGUGGCAUAACUGACGCUGAAGCACGAAGGCGUGGGUAUCGAACAGGAUUAGAUACCCCGGUAGUC